rnacentral:rRNA from 2 species
UUUCAUUUUAUUGGGCGUAAGCGCGCGCAGGUGGUUCCUUAAGUCUGAUGUGAAAGCCCACGGCUCAACCGUGGAGGGUCAUUGGAAACUGGGGAACUUGAGUGCAGAAGAGGAAAGUGGAAUUCCAAGUGUAGCGGUGAAAUGCGUAGAGAUUUGGAGGAACACCAGUGGCGAAGGCGACUUUCUGGUCUGUAACUGACACUGAGGCGCGAAAGCGUGGGGAGCAAACAGGAUUAGAUACCCUGGUAGUCCACGCCGUAAACGAUGAGUGCUAAGUGUUAGAGGGUUUCCGCCCUUUAGUGCUGCAGCUAACGCAUUAAGCACUCCGCCUGGGGAGUACGGCCGCAAGGCUGAAACUCAAAGGAAUUGACGGGGGCCCGCACAAGCGGUGGAGCAUGUGGUUUAAUUCGAAGCAACGCGAAGAACCUUACCAGGUCUUGACAUCCUCUGACAACCCUAGAGAUAGGGCGUUCCCCUUCGGGGGACAGAGUGACAGGUGGUGCAUGGUUGUCGUCAGCUCGUGUCGUGAGAUGUUGGGUUAAGUCCCGCAACGAGCGCAACCCUUGAUCUUAGUUGCCAGCAUUCAGUUGGGCACUCUAAGGUGACUGCCGGUGACAAACCGGAGGAAGGUGGGGAUGACGUCAAAUCAUCAUGCCCCUUAUGACCUGGGCUACACACGUGCUACAAUGGAUGGUACAAAGGGCUGCAAACCUGCGAAGGUAAGCGAAUCCCAUAAAGCCAUUCUCAGUUCGUAUUGUAGGCUGCAACUCGCCUACAUGAAGCCGGAAUCGCUAGUAAUCGCGGAUCAGCAUGCCGCGUGAAUACGUUCCCGGGCCUUGUACACACCGCCCGUCACACCACGAGAGUUUGUACACCUCGAGUCGGUGAGGUAACUUUUAUGGUAGCAGCCGCCUAAGG